GCGGAUCGUGAUCAGUCACUGGUUUAUCGUAAAGGAGACCGCGUCGAUCGUCAACCCGAUAUAUUUUCCGCCAGACGAUCGACCUGAAGAAGAAGUUUAGUUCGAGGAAUUUCUGUGGUGAAAACCGUCUCACCAGUGAGGAAGAACAAGGCGUGGAAUAAUAACCGCACUGGAGUGCGAGGUGCCGCGACACCGUAAAUUGGUCGUGGUGGAGAGUGAGGUGGCGUCUACGUUCAGCAUGGAUAGCAUGGCCAUGCUGGAGUAGUUAGGAGUACUUGAGAUCGGCCUUCAUUUCCUGUUUCGCAAGCUAAUUUCCAUCAUGGCUGGAGCCGUGGUGUGGAGCGGUGCGCUGCUGUGCAUUCCUGCCGACUGGACGGCGGGGCAAAUGCACCGGAUGGCCGGCGUUCUCGCCGGUGACCAAGCUGGGUUCUGCCCGGGCAGCAACGUUGUUCC
rnacentral:lncRNA from 1 species